UCCAUUCUCUGUACUUGGAACUUUUGUGGCUUCCAUUGUUACUGGCGUGCUAGUGUACCUUGGCGGCGUGAUGUUUCUCAUGUACAGACUUCCAUUCGUUGAGUGUCUCAUGUUUGGCUCUCUUAUCUCAGCUACUGAUCCUGUCACUGUCUUGUCUAUAUUCCAGGAACUUGGAUCGGAUGUAAUUUGUAUGCCCUGGUGUUUGGAGAAUCUGUUUU